UACGUAGGGUGCGAGCGUUGUCCGGAAUUAUUGGGCGUAAAGAGCUCGUAGGCGGUCUGUCGCGUCGGAUGUGAAAACUCGGGGCUCAACCCCGAGCCUGCAUUCGAUACGGGCAGACUAGAGUUCGGUAGGGGAGACUGGAAUUCCUGGUGUAGCGGUGAAAUGCGCAGAUAUCAGGAAGAACACCCGUGGCGAAGGCGGCUCUCUGGGACGGUACUGACGCUGAGACGCGAAAGCGUGGGGAGCAAACAGG
rnacentral:rRNA from 1 species